rnacentral:lncRNA from 1 species
UGCAUUUUCAAUGAGCUGCUGAGUGAAAGCUUGGCAUGUGUAUUAGUGAACCAGCAUACAAUUAGCUUAUUGUUCCUUUCAGCAUUGUGCUGAGAGGAUCUAAGGGUUUGGGGGUGGGGGUAAGGGGAGGCAAGCAAGGCAUCUCUGUGGAUAUUGAAGAAAGGAGUUACUUUCUAGCCUUGCGGGCUUCACUUGCUUACUCUGGAAUCACAGCUUUUUUAUUAAGAAGCUGUCUGUGUGGCUUGGAAGGGGUGCUGUGCUUAAGGAAAGUAAGGAUCCCAGCCACUAUUCUGUUUAAGCCCUCCUGAACUCUUUGCACUUCUGAUCACUCCCCCAUCGCUAUUAUGGAGCCCAACAGUCCCAAAAAGAUCCAGUUUGCUGUGCCCUUAUUUCAGAGUCAGAUAGCACCUGAGGCAGCUGAGCAGAUCAGGAAAAGAAGGCCCACACCAGCUUCUCUUGUGAUUCUCAAUGAGCACAACUCACCAGAAAUAGAUGAGAAGAGGGUGACCAACUCACAAGGAGAAUCACAGAAUGCAUCUCCUAAGCAGAGGAAGCAGAGUGUUUAUACACCUCCUGCUAUGAAAGGUACUGUGCAGGGGUUAAACAUAUGAAAAACCAGAAUGACUCAGCAUUCCCAGAGGAAGAAGAAGGAGUAAAUGAAAGAGAAGAUCAAUGGGACCAUUAAUCGCAGAAAUGAGGAGAGAAAGGGUUCUUGUGAAUAACUGAACUGCUAACCUUUCUGAAUAUCCCCUGGAACUCCAUUGCUUGGCUUCAGGAAGUAUUCUCCAUCUUGGCACUCCAUAAUCAUUCAGUAGUGUAUCUUCAGGGAAGCACUCCACUGAAUUCUAGAACCAUGUACAUCUUCUUCCAUAGUACUUAUUAUCCAGGAAUAAAUAUUUAUUUUAUAGUAAUCUUUCUUUGUAAUGAUUUAGAAAUGCCAUUUGCAAACAUGUUAGCAAUUUAACUUUAAUAUUCCCAGUGCUUAAUUCCUAAUGUCUUUCUGUUAUGAUUUGCAUUAAAGAUCAACUGUAAAUAGUCCCCUUCUAAAGCUACAAAAUAAAUACAAAAUACCUUUAGAAAUGCCCAUGUGUUUGAGUCAAACCUGGAGAAAAAUGUUUAAUGAAAGGUGAACAUCUAAGUCAGGCAACACAUUUAUAGCUUUUAAAUAUACAGUUUAGGUUUUAGCAUGUGGCUCAAAAUGAUAAUGCUGGCUCUAGACUCUAAGACUACACUAUAUUAAGCUCUUGGUGCUCCAUAUAAAUACUUACUUCUUUCUCUAUGACUGAGCUUUAAUGGUAUUUAAAAUAAACACUGGGUUCCUCAUUUCUCAAACUCAGAAAAGUUCUUUUUCUCAGUCUUUUCCCUUCCUGAUCAAAACAAAACACAAUGAAUUUUUUUUAAGCCUAUGGGUCUAAAAAAGAAAUUUCUUUGUUUUGCUGAAAAUUUAUCAUCAUUAUGCUUAUUUAUAUUAUUUCCAUUUUCUCAGGAGCAUCAAUGUUGUUUAAAUAUUUCUUAACCUUAAUAUUUUAAAAAUGCUAUUUGCUCCAAGAGACUACUAUGCCCACAAACCUUUUAUUUCUUUAAAAUGGUGUCAUCAUCUCGUAACUACUAAUAUGGUAAGUAAGCAUCCUCCAACCAAUUCUAAAUGCAAUCUCUAUAUUAUUAAAUACUAUAAAAUCUUUUUUGGGUAACAGCAUAGGUGAAUCAAUAUGGUGGUAGUCUUAGUGAAGUUAAGAAUUUUAUGUAUAUAUAAGGAAAAGUAGUUUUCCCAGAUAAUAUUUUUUUUCUGAUUUUCAAAAGUUGGAACUGCUACCAUAUAAAGAAAAUUUGAAUCAGAAGAAGAAAAGUAUUUUCAAUUAGAGCUAAUUUAACUAUGGAAUGAUCCAUGUUUAAAUCACACAUAUUUUAAUAAUUGACUUGAGAGCACUGAAGUAGGGAUUAUGCAUUUAGAAAGGUAAAAGCAUAAGAUUCCUGUCCUCAAGGAGCUCAUACCUUGGUGAUGUGUGUGUGUGUGUGUGUGUGUGUGUGUGUGUAAAAAGAGAGACAAAUAGAGACAACUACAGAAACAGAGACACAGAAAGGGAAUAUGUGUACACUAUGGUACAUAUGUAAACUCUAAGAAUAAUAAAACUAAAUUAUGGAGAGAGGAAGACUGAUAACUGGGUGAUGAGAAAAGGCUUCAUAUAGUAAAUGACAACUAAGUGAACAGUCAUUAUUUUCAUGGGCCAUCAGAAACCUCAAUAUUUUCCUUCACUGCCUACCUUUAAAUUAGUGUAUGGUAAUGCCAAAACAAAUAGCCACAAGCUACAGUGAUUGAAUCCACUUAAUUGCAAUGACUUUCAUUGCAUAAUUUUGAAAAAAAAAAAAAAAAAGCUACUCAUCUUUUCCUUGAUUCACAAGUACAAACAAUUCAGGUUAAUUGCAUACUAGAUAAUAGAAAAUCCAGCCUAAUCACAUCAAAGGUUUUUAAACCCUGAUGCAAUAUAUUUUAUUUUGCUUGCCCUGAGGAAAAACUUGGUGUGGGUGUGGGUAUGGGUGUGUUUAGGGAUACAAAGAAUAAGACAGAGAAAUUACCAGAAGGAAACCUUAUCUCGCUUUCUAAAUUCUUGGUUCUAGGACCCAAAUCUCAAAGCAUGAGCUUUUUAUCAGAGAAAAAAUCCAUCCCUGCCAUCACAACAAAAUUCUACACUUCUCAAACCUGAAAACUGUCAAAGAACUGUCCCAAAAUGCAGCUCAUGAUAGCACCUAUCAUAGUUAAAAUUAGGAUAAUAUUACAAGAUCUUUUCCUUAAGGUAUUGCAUUUAGAUAUUAUUGAUAACACUUGCAUAGGAUAAACAAUUUUAUUUUUCCAAAUACAUGCAAAGAUAGUUUUCAACAUUUACCUUAGUAAAAAUCUUGUAUUGCAAAUUUUCUUCUCCUCCCUAAUCCCCCUUCCCAAAAUAGUUAGCAAUCCAAUAUAGAUUAAACAUGUGGAGUUCUUUUAACAUAUUUAUUUCCAUAUUUAUCAUGCUGCACAAGAAAAAUCAGACCAAAAGAGAAAAAAAAGAAAAAAAAAAAAACAUGAGAAAGGAAAAAACCCCAAGAAAACAAUAGCAACAAAAAGGUGAAAAUACUAUGCUUUGAUCUACAUUCAGUUUCCAUAGUUUUCUCUUGAUGCAGAUGGCAUUUACCAUUCCAAGUCUAUUGGAAUUGCCCUGAGAAUCACUUCAUUGUUGAAAAGAGCCAAGUCCCUUACCAUUGAUCAUCACAUAAUCUUUUUGCUGUGUACAACAUUCUCUUGGUUCUGCUCACUUCAACCUUUCUGAACCCAGCCUGCUGAUCAUUUCUUAUAGAACAAUAAUAUUCCAUUUCAUUCAUAUGCCAUAACUUAUUCAGCUAUUCCUCAACUGAUGGUUAUCCACUCAAUUUCUAGUUCCUUGAUACUAGAAAAAGGGCUGCUACAAACAUUUUUACAUAUGUGGGUCCUUUUCCCUUUUUUUUUUUUUUUUUUGGCUACAUUAUUACUUUAAAAAUUUUUUUAUUUUAUUAAAAAAAGAAUAGAAAAAAAAAAAAAGAAAAACAAAACAUUAUCAAGUACCCAGAAAAAUAUCAGAAGGGAUUCAAAAUACAUAACAAUUAAUUGCUAGUUCAAGAAAGAACAUAUUAAUAGAAGAAAUUAUAUUCAUGAAUGCCUAUCUUUUCUUUGCUUCCUUGUAGGUUAUUCUUUUGUUAUCUGCUGUGUACUUUUUUUUACUUGUUCUUUCCCACCCCCUUUCAUCCUCCCUACCUCCCCCAACUAGAUUGUAGUUAAGGACUGAUAUAUGUUUAUAUAUAGUUAUAUACAUACAUACACAUACAUUCACACCUAACUACCCACAUCUUCCCCCUACACACACACACUUACAUCCACAGACUCUCACUCACACAUACAUAUAUCUAUAAACAUGGGAACAUAGAGGAACAUGCAUACAUACCUAUAUAUACUCAGAUACUCAUUUAUAGACACAUCUACCCCCAUGCAAACACAUCAAAAACAGUAUCAAUAUGGCUGGCAAUCUACAUUAGUAGAUUUCCCUCUUAAUUGAAUAUGUUUAAUUUAUUUCUUUUUUCCAAUUUCUGCUAACUCUUCUGCUAUAAAUCUGCUCUUUAACUUGCCUUGCUAUUACUUAAUCUCCCUUCCCUCAUGAAUCCCUCCCUUAUCUUUUUCCCUCACUCUUUCCUUCCCCCUUCAUUGAUCCUUCCUCCCUUAUUUCUUUACCCUUUCCCUCUUUGAUGAUCUCUUUGGGAUACAGACCCAGUAGAGACACUACUGGAUCAAAGGGUAUGCACAUUUUUAUAGCCCUUUGGGCAUAAUUCCAAGUUAUUUUCCAGAAUGAAUGGAUCAUUUUACAACUCCACCAACAAAGCAUUAAUGAUCCAGUUUCCUAAUAUUCCCCUUCCCCUUCCAAUAUUCAUCAUUAUCUUUUCCUGUCUUCUUAGAGGUGUCAAAUGGUGUUUCAGAGUUGCCUUAAUUUGCAUUUCUCUAAUCAAUAGUGAUCUAGAGUAUUUUUUCAUAUGUCUAGAAAAAGCUUUAAUUUUUUCAUCUGAAAAUUAUGACAACUUUUUAAACAGAUUGAAACAUCUUAAAUUUCAGUUUUCUUCUGUGUUUGUGAGACUAUGAGGUUCAUAUCACGGAGACAAAUUUAAAUUCCACACAAAGCUUUGCAGUGGGGUCACCAUCUGCAGAAAAUUUCACAACAUUCCUUCUGAGAGGUCUGUAGGGACUGCUUAGUUAGUAAUUUACACUGAAAUCGUGAGGUUACAAAUUUCCUCCAAGUAUCCUCUUUAUACUCAUAAUAGAAACCUAGAUUUUUUGAAGUAAAAUGUGAAGAAAGGUAAAGGAGAAAAGAAGAGAUGGGAAGAUUCAUGAAGUUCAAGAGAUUGGGAAGUUGGACUGCAUGUGUGUAGAUUAAAGCAAAAUCAGAAAUUCAUACAAAAUUUUAUGCUGGAAAAACUGAGGUAGGAUAGAGGUUAGAAAGUUAUUAAUAUUUUGUUUGAAAAGGAGAGAUUUACUGGGAUCAAAUGGAUUCAUGGUUGGUUCCAGGGUUGAAUGAGACUAUAGUCUCCAAGAAUUGAGCAGCAAAUGUUAGAUAUGAGAUUCUUUUAUAGGGUAACAAGAACAAUGACAUAAUGGGGGAGGUGUUGAGGAUGGGGAUGAUCUAAUGGGGGGAGGCACCUAGGAUGACUGGAGGUACUGGAGAGGCUCCUGAUACUCUAAUAAUAUCUAAAAUGGAUAAAGACCUUUAUCCCAUCAAACAUUAAGAGGGAAUGAUUAUAGUCUGAGGUCUAAGAUAUAAGACCUUUAUCCUAUCAAACAUUAAGAAAGAAUGGUUAUAACCUGAGGCAGAGUAACUGAGUUAGGACAAUUAGGGAAACUGGGUCAGGAUAUUAAAAGAGAACUGUGGCACAACAAAAAGACUCUUAGAAAAUGAUGAAAAAUUAUUGACUCUUUUCUAAAACCAUUUCCAUAUUCACCUCUGUCCCUACCUUAUAUUAUCAUCUUCUUGAAGCCAGGGGCAAUAUUGUUUUUCCUUAAUACAGUGUUCUACACACAGACGGAGUUAAUAAUUGCGUAUCUAAUUGAAUAACUGAUUCUUAUCCUUGAAAUUCAGCUAUGAGGCUUUCCCUUUACCUAACAAGGGUUGGCUUUGGUAGUAAAAACAAAGUCAUCUUUCAAUUAGAGCAUGCCUUCAAGGUGAUCUGUCCUAGGUCUAUUAUAUCAUGGAAGUAUGUAUAUAUUUAGAGAGGGUAAGUCUAGUCUGACAUCUAGUCUGACGAUCUCUUUUAAAAAAUGAGACCAAGAGAGAGAAUAAGGGAUUUGUCUGAGGUCUUACAGAUGAAACACAACAGAACUCCCUUCACUAAUACAGAUCAAAAAUUCUCCUGAUCAUAGAAUAUUAAAAGGCCAAUAGAAUAAAGUGGUUUGCCUAGCUGUUGUGUGUCAGAACUGAAGUUCAAACUCAGGUUUCUUGACUCCAGGCCUUGUACUCCAUUGAUUACAACUGCCAUUGAACAGCAGAGAGAUAGGAUACUUACAGAUAUGAUACCUAUAUUUUAAGUUACAGGUAGACAAAUUAAAAAAAAAAUUAAGUGAAAACACAAAAUCCAUCUUCUUACCUUUACAUGUAUCUAAUUACAUAAUUAGGAGGUAUUUUGUGAUUUUCUGAAGUCUCCAAUCUGCACUUGCCAAAGUCAGUACACCAAUAACAUUAACCACUAUAAUAAUAUCUUGGGAGAGAAAGAAGAAAAAAAUGGGAAAGAAAAAAUGAAGGAAGAAAGAAGCAAGAAGAAUGCUAAUAAUGUCAUGUUUAUAUAACCAUUUUAAAGUUUGCCAAGUUCUUUCUACAUAAGAUGAUACAGAAGAAAAAGAAAGAAGUGGGGAGAAAAGGAUUAAAGAAAAGAAAGAAGAAAGAAUUGGUCAGCAAAGGAGGAAGUACAUUCUUAGACUUUUUUUUUUUUUUUUUUUUUACUGUUAUCGUUGAAAGACAAAAUAAAAAGUUGUUGAUCUGACAAUAAUGAGUGCCAUUUGUUUUGAUCAAGAAAAUACUGUCGUGGGUAUGAUAUGGUAUAGAUUCUAGGGAAAUAUAGCAGUGGUUGGGGGGGUCUCUUAAUCCUGGGAGACUUCAUUUCUAGCAAUCUAUCUGAUUCCUCUGCUUUUGCCCCAUCUCCCUUCUCCCCCCCCCUCCUCCCCCAGGAAUGCUAUUGUUCUGACAUUCUGCCUGAUUCUGGAGACCACUCCUCAAUUCAUUACCGACUGAUAAUCUCCUUUCUAUCUAUGAGCCAUAGAAUUAGCAUGUGUAUGAUAGAAAGCUGGACAAAUGUGUCCCCUUGCUUCUGUUUCUCUGCUAAUUUCUUCUGGAAGUUCAGCCAGCUUUGUAGUGGUCUUACAAUUAUAAUAAACUUUGCCCCUUGACUUAGAAUGUGUUCAAGCCUGAGUUCACAUCUUGUGGCCUAGUGGUGGGAAGGGAAUUGUUAAUUUUCUAGGAGCAUGAAUCCAGUUACCCCAGGUGGUAAAGAAAUUAAGAGCAAUAUUUUGAUUUAUUAUUUGUUAUUUGUAUACCCAGUGCCUAGCAUAGAGCUUGACUAAUAACAAAUGCUUAGUGAAUAUUUAAUGACUGACUUGCUGACCUGUAACAAAGUUUGUUAACUGAUUGACAAAAUACUUAUUCCCAUAUAUUAUAUCCUGAUCUCUCUCUGAAUCUAUUAGAAAUAUCUGGGUAAAGCAAAGAGGAAUUGGUGAGGGACAUGGAACAAUAAGGAGUAGAGAAAGAAACUAGUGGGAAUGUAGAAGAUGGGUGUCUUAUCUCUGGAAGGCUUUUCACUAUGAAUAUGGAGGAGGAGAGAAAAAAUUCCCAAAAGCUAUCAUUCAAAAAGAUUAAAGUUCUUUAUACAGGGAAGACACUUUCUUUAAUUUAUAAAGUUUUUUUUUUUCUUUUAUACUUUAUGGUUUUGUGUGGCUUGUUUUUAUUUUGUUUUGUUUUGCUUUUGCAAAUUCCUUUUAGAAAAAUGCCCUAGGGUAUUUUUUUUUUUUUUUUGCUUUUUUUAAAAUUUAAAAAUCAAUAGAUCCUUCAGCUUCCAGUAAAAGCUCCAUUUUACAACCUUCUAAUUGUAUAAUUUACUCUAUUGUGGUUUAUGGGCUUUGUAGCUAAUUUGCUCAGCAUUGCAGAUAUUUUUCUUUAGAGAGAUUUAUUGUGACAUGAUCAGAAAUUUUUUGGAAGUUUUCUACUUCUUCAUUGUUGAGGUACAAGAGUAAGUCAAUAAUGACUACAAACUGUCUUGUCAGUAGAUGUUUUUAUUUUUGGGAGGUAUGUUGGGAGGUAAUCCCAAAAGAAAAUACCUACAGCAAUACAAAAGGUGCUCAGUUGACUUCCCUUGGCUAGUCUGUAUAUGCAUAAAAACCUACUUUCCAACAAUUUUAACUCUGUACUAAAUCUGUGUUAAACAUUUGUACCACAUUAUUUACAAAUUACUUUAGAAAUGCUGGAGAAACUAAGGCAAGAUAGAAAUUGGAGAGUUUUUAAUAUUUUAUUUGAGAGGGAGAAAUACUGGGAGCAAAGCAGGAUCCAUAUUGGCCCCAGGGCUGGAUUGAACUCAUGUCUCAUAGCAUCCAACAAUGAGUGAUGGAUUCCAGGGCUUCCUAUGGGGCUCCAGGGAUCAAGGGAAUAAAGCAGGGUGGGGUUAGAGCUUUGGUGAGCAGGAAUUUCCAGGAACAGACCAUAAUUUGGUUCUGGCAGGUUGGGGAUAAAGAAGGAUCAUAAAUCCUGUUAAGUUGGAAGGCUAGGAGCCAGAAUGUUUGGUUCAGAGAGUGCCAUCUAGGUAUCUGAGAUAAGUCAUCUGCAAUUUAUGGCUCUAUGGAUUGCUAAUGGUCAGGGUUCCCAACCCUAAUUUAUAUCAGUUCUAAUGGUCAUGAAGAGGGGUUUCAACCAGGGGGAUGGAGGCAGAACAAUUCACAAGACUGAGGUAGAACAAUUCAAAGAAACUGAGGUAGAACAAUUCAGGGAAACUGAAGUAGAACAAUUCAGGGAAAUUGAGGCAGAACAAUUAAAGGAGACUGUAGCAUAACACUUUCCCUCAAUUUGUCUUUAAUUUUUAAUAAGCUUCAAGGAAAAAACCAUUGUCUAAAAUGUUUUCCCUCCAAACCUGUCUUCUGUCUUCCCUUAAAACUCAUCUCAAGUCCUACUUUUCUUCAUAGAACCUUUCCUAAUCUUUCUACCCCCUUGUAGUAUCUUUUCCUUUACAUUGUUGCUGUUCAGUGGUAUCUGACUCUUUGUGAUCCCAUUUGGGAUCUUUUUGACAAUGAUACUGAAGUGCUUUGCCAUUUCUUUCUCUAGCUCAUUUUACACACGAAGUAAACAGGAUUAAGUCAUUUGCCCAGGAUCACACAUGUUUGAACUCAGGAAGAUGAGUUUUCCUAAAUUCAGGCCUGGCACUCUAUCCACUGCUCUACCUAGUUGUCUUUCCUGUGAAAUUAUCUACCCCUUAGGCAUCUUCUUACAAAGUUAUUUGUAUAUUGUCUCCUCCAUUAGAAUAUGAGCUUCUUGAGAUCAGGGACCUGAUUUUUUUUUCCCCCUUUCUUAGUAUUCUCAGAACUUAGUAGUGUCUAACAUAAUAAAUGCUUAAUAAAUGCUUGUUGACUGGCUGUAGUUUUUAAAAUAUUGCUUAGUCAUUUCCUUCUAUUUCUAUUCCCAGAAUAUGAAGCUACCUCUAAAACUGGGGAAGUGAAAAGUGAUGAGGUCUUCAAUGUUAAUUUUGGUUAGCAGAGGAAUUGAUAAAAAUUAAUCCCUUAAGCAAACAGGAAAAAGGUUCUGAUAAUGAAGAUCCAUUUAUUUCUUUGGUCCCACUCUCUAAAGGUAAUAGACUCUAAGGCUAAAAUUUCCCUAAUAAAACUAUUGAGGCUGGGAAGUGACUUCAAAAGAUUGGGAAUUGCAGACUGCUGUUAUAAGGUGUCUCAAAAAAAUUUGCAGACUUGAAUUCAUAUCCAAGUCAAAGGGCAAAGCUUAUUGUGAUUGUAAUGCCAAUUGAAGCAAACAAAAAAAUUCCAGUGAAUUUAGCAAGGAAUCUGAAGCAAGAAAACACAUUUAUCUAGUUCUUCAGGUUAUUGAUAUGCUAAUCUUAUGGCCCAGAGAUACAACUGAGGAGUGGUCUCACUGACCAGCAGACCUAAGAGUGUUCACUUUAGAAUCCAUGACAGACAAGAUUGUCAGAACAAUAGUUAGAGUUUCAGGAUCACUAAUGUAUUUUAUCUAAAGUUUAAGGGAAGAAAUAAUAUUAUAUUCUUAGGCCAGAAGACUUUUACAAUCAUUAACAGAACAAUAGCAUUAUUAGAUCAGAGGGCUUCAGGAUCACAGAUUCCAAAGCCGGAAGAUUUAGAAUCACUGAUAUUGUCAGAGAAGAAGCACUCUUUAAGUUCAGGGACCCUUAAAAUUAUUGCUGUCUCCCUAGAAGCUAUAUUCCCUUAAAACAACUUAUGGCCCAUGGCUUUGCUGUUCCCUUCCUUUGGGUCAACCUAUCAUGGCACUCUGCCUCUUGGUAUCUUUCUCCUUACCCCUCUCUCCAUCCCAAGCCACAUGGUAUCCUCCUAACUACUCUAUGUUCCCCAACUCCACAUCUCCUUCUUACAGCUCUUUUAGGAUGCUAAGUCCCUUUCAGGGACUCUGAGCCUGCCAGCUAAGAGAAUACCCCAACCUCAUGGGAUGUUCCCUAUGUACUGGGUAAGAAUGAGUUCCACUGAAGAACUUGUCUUUCAUAUGCUCUUCCACUCUACUUCCUUCAUAUUUGCCAUUCUCAGUGUCUAUUGUAUCACUUCAUUUUGUCUGUAAUCUCUUCCCUAAAUAAAUCUAUCUUUGGCCAAAGAGAAUGGACCUUGUGAAUUCUUUACAUGAGCAAACCCCAACUUUUGGUGCCUGCCAUCAUUUGUUGACAAACCCCCCAUCAUAGAUCACAUCAGAAAGGAUGCUUUUUCUUUUUUUUUAAUUGCAUCUCUCUCUCUCUCUCUCUCUCUCUCUCUGUUUGUUCAUUUAUUUAUUUAUUUGUUUGUUUGUUUGUUUUAUUACAGCUUUUUAUUUACAAGAUAUAUGCAUGGGAAAUUUUUCAGCAUUGACCCUUGGAAAACCUUCUGUUCGAACUUUCCCCCUCUUUCUCCCAUCCCCUCCCCCAGAUGGCAGGUAGACCAAUACAUGUUAAAUAUGUUAAAGUAUAAGUUAAAUACAAUAUAUGUGUACAUAAGGGAUGCUUUUUCUUUUAUCUAUCUUCAGAUUCAAAGCAACAGACCUAGGAUGCCACCUACCUCAUCCCCUUUACCUGAGGCCAUGUGGGGUAGUGUAAAGUGACCUUAUUUAGCUUUGGAGACAAAUGACCUGGGUAUAAAUUUAACUUUAUUAUUUGUGAAAGUUUAGGCAAGUCACUUUAACUUCUGGACUCUUUUGAGGCUUAACCAGGUUAAGUAAUCUGUCCAAAAUCUCACAGUUAGUGACAACCAGUAUUGAAGAGGUCUUCUGAUUCCAAAGCCAAGACUGCUGCCACGCUGUUUUCUUAUUUCAUCUAUCUACUGAAUAGAUUUUUCUGAGCCUUGAAAGAAUCUAAGAAAAUAGGAAGGAAAAGAAAGUGAAUUUAGGCUUACUUUUUUUUUGAGCAAUCAGCAAUUCAGUGGAACAUAUAGAAGACCUGAGUACAAGUUUGAACUUCAAAACUAGUUAUAUGAGCAUGGACAACCACUGACCCUCAGUUUCCUCAUUUGUGAAAUAGGAAUAGUAAUAUUUGUACUUCCUAAUUCGUAUGUUGUUGUAAUGAAAACUUUUAAAAAACUCUAUAAAUAUGAAUUAUUGGUAGCAUAAAAAAAAAGUUGGUGGGGAGAAUGAUAUAUUAUUGCCAGUUUAGUCUCUUUAACCCCAUUUCCCCACUCUCCAUUCCACCUUCCUCACCAGCCAGUCCUCGAGUUUGGCCCUCAAUCACCCCCAGUUGGAUUUUUAUGUUUUAGUUUUGGUUGUUUCCAUAGUUAUUUACAUCUGGGUUCUUUUCUUUCUUCUCCUGUUGAGAUGAGGCAGAUCUCCACUCUUUCUUGGAAGGACCACCUGACAAUCCUUAUAUUUUCUAUUGUAUUGUGCUAUUUUGAAACUGCUUAGUUCUGUAAGGAAACAUUUUUAAUUUAAGUUGGGUGGAAUGUUGCAAUUUCCCAUGAGAUGAAUUGAAGUCUUUUGGGAAACUUUGGAUAGUAGAGAAAUUUUUCUCUAAAGUAUUCAGUACAAACUCGUUUAUAUAUUGUGUACAGAAGAAUUCUUCCUCUAACAACAACAACAAAGCAACCAUAUUGUACAUAGCCUGUGGGACUUUUUCUGCUCUUCUAAUCAAUCUUUUAAUUCAAGGUUCUUUCCAGCUAUAAAUCUAUUCUCUAUUCCUCUCAUUCAAAUCUAGUAAAUAUAUUUAUGUCUUAACUCUUAGUUAUAUUCCUCAGUAUAAAGAAUGUCUAUCCCAAAUAGAUUUUCUAAAAUAAAUGGUAAUCUAAGAAGACUGAAUGUAAAUCAACACAUGAGCAUAUCUUCACUUCUUUUUUCUGUUUUUUUUUUUCCUCUCUCCAUGGUUUUUCCCUUUUGCUCUGAUUUUUCUCUUUAAACAUGAUUCAUAAAGCAAUGUGUAUUAAAAAUAAAUAAACUUACUUCAUUAAAAAAAGAAAGAAAAAAAAUGGCAAUCUUAGUUCCUUACCUCAAAAACAUUUUCUUGUCUCCCGGAAGGAAGUUCCAGGCCUUAUUGAAAGGAAUUUUGCUUUCUCCUUCUGUUUGUAGGACAAUUGGCAGUUUUGUUUUUAGUGUACCUCACUGGGCUAUAAUGGAAUAAUUUUUCUAAAGGUACAAUGGAUAUAAAUGAGUUACAGAUCUAGGAUCAUGUGACUAAGUUUCUUGAAGGUGAGAAAUUAGAUAGUUUUUCAUUUUUGUAUUUCCUAUAUCUGAUACAAUGUCUUGAAUGUAAUAGAUUUUUAAUGUUUGUUAAGUUGAAUAAGAACUCAGAUAUUCAAUUCAUUCCCUAAAAAUUUGAACUUUGAUUUUGUAUUAGCUAUUAUAUGGAAAUCAUAAGAGGAAAAAAUAAACUUUGAGGUUACUCUACAAAGCAAUUGCCCUUAUCUUCAAUUAUGUAUGUAUGUAUGUUUCUGUAUGUAUGUAUAUAUGUGUAUAGACAUGUAUGGACAUGCUAUAUCUCUUUUUAUGUAUAUUCAUAUACACAUAUAUAUAUAUAUAUAUAUAUAUAUAUAUAUAUAUAUAUGUUAUGUAGUUAAUAUGUAAUCUUUUCAGAUAAUUUUACUUCUGUAUCCUAGAAGCCUUUGGAAAUCAAAUAGGUUUAUUUAUGUGAGUGUAUAAGGGUAUAGAGACAAAGUUUGAGAACAGAAAGUUAAAAAGUUGAUAAAAAUUCAGUAAUGUCUUAAUUGUGGUUUCCUUAAAGAAAAAAGAAUCAAGUAUCUGAAUAGUGUUAUUCCUUUGUCUUUCCAAGUUGGGAGUGGAUGAAUGAUAUUUAUCCCACACCUUUCUACUUCCUAUUACUAUCUUGUCAAAGGAAAAGAAGAAUGGUAAUUUUUAUAUUCCACCCCCAGAAAAUAAUAAUGCAAAUAAACAUAAUUAUCUCAGAUUUCAAGCGUAUGAUGUGGCAAUAUGUUAUAAAAAUUUUGACAACAAGAAAAACAGUAUAGUACAAAAUAAGAAAUAAAAGAGAACCUUGAAUCUGUCACCAACCAAUACCUUAAUGAACCUGAGGAAAAAAUUUUAAUUGGACUUCCAAACUGGUACUUUUCCUCAAAAGCAGCAGAAGUCUAAUAUGUCUCUUUAUUAAUCAAAUCAAUGGCACAUUAUGAACUUAGGGAAAAAUGCAUGGCUUGCAGAUGGCUGAACAUCACUUUAAUAAUUAAAGGAGUAUAGUUUUCUUUUCUGUUUCUACCCUCUCUUUCCCUCCCCUUUCAUUUUCUUUUUAAAUACUUUCUGUUUGGGGGACCUUGCAGCAGAUUGGUUGGUUUGCUAUUACAUUUCCCCUGCAGCAUGAAUCCUGUGGAUAUGCUUCCCUAAUCAUGCUAAUUAUAUUGCCAUAUGUUGCUCCCAUCUUUCUUCUUCUUCUUCUUCUUUUUUUUUUUGCCCUAAUGGGACAUAAUCUCCUAUUUCGGAUAUGUCAUUUGUUUAUUACAUUUGUCAAUUUUUUUUUCUCCUUAAUGUUCUAUGUCUUUUAAUUGCUUUUUAAAAUACUUGGUUUACUAAAAGUUAAAAUUUGACAUGAAGGUCAAUUACGAAUAAUAUUGGAAUCAUAUUAUGAAAUCCCAGACUUCUCCAUAAUUUCUACUUCAAAUUACAUGUUCUGAUUCAGGUUUUUCAUGAAAUUGGACAUAACUUUAGAAUAUGGAUAAGAAACUAGAAAAAAUAAAAAUAUUUCAAUGUAAC